UACGGAGGGGGCAAGCGUUAUUCGGAUUUACUGGGCGUAAAGCGCACGUAGGUGGCACUGUAAGUCACAGGUGAAAGCCCUCGGCUCAACCGAGGAACUGCCUGUGAAACUGCUUUGCUUGAGUCCGGGAGGGGGGAGCGGAAUUCCUAGUGUAGCGGUGAAAUGCGUAGAUACUAGGAGGAACACCGGUGGCGAAGGCGGCUCCCUGGACCGGUACUGACACUGAGGUGCGAAAGCGUGGGUAGCAAAC
rnacentral:rRNA from 1 species